UUAUCGGUUACCCUCUUCCUCUGGUUCCUCCGCUUUGCUUCCGGGUCGCCUCGGCUGCUGGUUAACGGUACAGACAAGACGUUCCCGGUUACAGCGCUCGUGAUCAGCGCGUCAAUCAAACCUGGCCGUAAUCGGCAGCUUUGCCUCCGUCCUCUUCCUCAGUGGGAUUUCUCUGGUGGCCGGAUCGGUCUGUGUGGGGCCUGGUGAUCUGGGGAAUUCCAGCGGCGUUAACUUGGGAGAAACAACACAGCUUUGACACGUUCCAGCUGCAGCUUUUUGAUAGCUCACGGCAGUCGGACGCCUGAGCUGCGGCUCCACCUCGGUUCCAACUGUUGUUUAACCACGGCGGUGCGGUCUUAGACGCCUUAAUCAGCCGGUAUCGUGGCUGGUUAAACUUGGAGCCCGCCUGCAGCAGAAAUUGCCCUCUUCCAGCAGCAU